rnacentral:rRNA from 1 species
AGCAGCCGCGGUAAUUCCAGCUCCAAUAGCGUAUAUUAAAGUUGUUGCAGUUAAAAAGCUCGUAGUUGAAUUUCGGGAUCAAUAUAUCGGUCGUGCCUCCGGUAUGCACUGGUAUUAUUGAUUUCUACCUUCUGACGAAUCAUGAUGUCAUUAAUUUGGUGUCAUGGGGAAUCAGGACUGUUACUUUGAAAAAUUAGAGUGUCUAAAGCAGGCACACGCUUGAAUACAUUAGCAUGGAAUAAUGAGAUAGGACGUUUGACCCUAUUUUGUUGGUUUCUAGGGUCGACGUAAUGAUUAAUAGGGAUAGUUGGGGGCAUUAGUAUUCAAUUGUCAGAGGUGAAAUUCUUGGAUUUUAUUGAAGACUAACUACUGUCGAAAGCAUUUGCCAAGGAUGUUUUCAUUAAUCAAGAACGAAAGUUAGGGGAUCGAAGACGAUCAGAUACCGUCGUAGUCUUAACCAUAAACUAUGCCGACUAGGGAUCGGAUGAUGUUAAUUUUUAAUGUACUCU